AGUUUCAUCUUUGCUCUUCGACAGGAAGGAGAGCGUUUUCUGCGGUAGAUGACACGUGAUCAUUCUUGCGAUUCAGGUUCGUUCUUCUUCUUAAAAACGUCGCAGCUGGCUAAGAGGAGCUCGUAAGAAACACGGGUGGAGGAGGGGAUGAGGCCUCGCAUUCGGUGGAAACGGGCGAUAAAGCGAAGCGGAACGGCCGAGAUCGCGGAAGAGGAGCGGAUCGGCGGCGGUGAGGGUAGAAUCGAGAUCCAUGGAUCCGUAUGGGUGCUUCUCGCGGUGGUUUACAGCCGGCCAAUCGCGGCGUAGUAUCUUCACAGGGCCAUCCAUCAACCCACGGGAGAGAACAACCUCUCUUUCCCGACCUCGUUCGUCCUCCUACGAGCGUCAUAACCCUCGAAACAUUGUAAAGCGGGAAAGUGGCGAAAGAGGAGACGCAAAAAAGGAAAAAAGAAAAAAAGUAAAGGAUCAGCUCGCUCCUGAGGAGAAUUGAAAACGAAGAGCGAACAAUGAAGAAGAAAUGGACAACGAGCGGAGCGAGACGCACGCAAUUCCGAUGUUGCGCCCCAAUCUCAGGAUUGCGCGCGAUCGCGUGCGCUCGCUUUAAUUACACCUGCGAAAAAUAAACGAAUAAAAA